AUGGUUUUGUGAAUGAGUAAU
rnacentral:snRNA from 1 species